rnacentral:lncRNA from 1 species
GUGCAAGUAUCUCUGUUCAUAAAUCAGACGAAGCAACAGGUUCACUGUGCAGUAUUCUAUUUGAAGGCUAUUACAUAAGACAUCCAGGCAAAGCUCUUUCCACUUUGAAAGGCCCUAACAUAUUGUGGAAUUGUCCUAACUCUCAAGGAGACACAGGGGGUUUGAAAGACUAAGUGCAAGGACCAAGGUUGCCCGGAUUCCCUUUAGCAUGAAGAAGUUACAGACAUUCAAACUCCAGUGGGGAAUAAAAUUACUUUUUAACAAAAUUCCUGACAAAUUUGAAAGCAAAAUACACAACAGAAACACCAAGCUACAUAUUCAUGGGUCUUUCGUCAAAUAGAAUUUAUUUUCCUGAGUAGAUUUGUUGAGACUCUUAAUUUCACUUCUCCUGAAGAUACACCAACCCCAAACCCUGGUAAUAACCCUGUGUAUCCCUUCUCAGCUUUUUAUAUUCAAUUUUCUGUUGCCUUUCAAAACUCAAAUCCAUUCCUAAAUUUUGUGUAUUAAAUCCUACAAGUGUGGUCAAGUCUUCUUGGAAUGAUAAAAAUUCUCAAGUACUGACCAACUAAAACUUCACUUUGAUUAAUGGUUAACAUGCAAAAGGAAGCCCACAUUGAACUUUGACAUUUUCUCAGCACCACGUCAGAGAAAGGCCACUUGACUGUUGCUCUAAACAGCUGCUGGCCAUACUCUCAGCGUGUUCUAAGUUGGAGGUACAAUAACAUGCACAUGGGGAAAAAAUGACUCCUAGUAGGGGGAAUUAAAGUAAAUUGGCUGGUGUUUUAAUCAAUAGACUUUACUUAAGUGCAAUAUUAAAUAAGCGCCUCAUCUGCAAUGUGUUAGGUACACAUUUCCAUACAAGAUUUUGACAACUCUCCUAUGAUUUUGGGGUUGAUGGGAAAAAGCACUACGUUUUGAAAUGCUAUUUUCUAAAUAAAACCUGUAUGCCCUAUCUCUAUUCCCAUCACUUUCUCCCUUCUCAACAUAUUCUUUUUCUAUUCUCAAACUGUGUCCUAGCCAUUCUUACAACACACACACACACACACACACACACACACACACACACACAGACAGAGACUCAGAGAGAGACAGACAGACAGACAAAGUGAGAGACAGAAAGACAGAUAGAAUAAGACAGAAGCAGCAACUGAGACAGAGACAGACAGACAGACAGACAGACAGACAUUUUAAGAAAAUAAUUCUUUUUUAAAAAAGCCUACAAGAAUAUCACUGAGUUGGUUUAUUUUGACCAUUUAUUCCUGGGCAUAGGGCUUACCAUUAAGUGUGAUUAAUAUACCCAGUGACACUCCAUUCCAUUGGAGAAAACUAAUUUUUUUUCCUUUGCAAGUGGGUAUCAAUUGCAGACAGGCUCUUCAUUGGGAGUGGACCCUUGUCUACUUCCUGUUUGCAGCGCUGGGACCCCCCAUCUGGCUCAAAUCUAUACAUUCUAUUUCUGAUAACUGUUUCCUAGAAUUCCAGCUAAGGGAUUCCCCAUAUCCAUGCAGUAUUUUAAGAAUUCUUCGUUGUAACCCGUGUGAAUAAUAUAUAAUUUAAGGAAUUUAAUGCUGUAGAGUGGAACUGGAAUAUCGAGUGCCUUUACCUCGGGAUUGCAGUAUUCCAGGUUAAAUCCUAUCCUAACUAGCUGCGUAUUCACCGCUGGUCAUCUAUUCGCUGACACAAUGCUUUACUAUCUCUGUAGAAAACUUGUAUUACCCAUUUAAUAUUUCAUAAAAAAUGUGAGGAACAGUAUCACCAGUCUGACUUAUACAAUGCUUAUGUAACGACACUAGUCAGUUAAUCUUGAAGCUUUACAUUUUCUCCAUGCUACCGAGUAGCAAAUGUCUGAACAUGUUGAAUCAAGGUUGGGUUAGAGAAUAGCUAUGCAUUCCUGACACGUAAGGAUGAAUAAGCAACUGAGUAAGGAAGCUUGGGUAAAUCUGAUUUCUCAGUAUUUCUAUGUGGCUUUUGAAUGAUAAAACGAUCUCCACUUUUCUAAAGACAAAGCUUUCUCUUCUACUUUUCACAUUAGCUUCUGUAAAUGUUUUAGUUGAAAAUUUAAUGCUUGUACAGUCCAUGGCAAUUGGAAUAUAUAUUAUAUGUAUAUGGAAAAAGUUU